rnacentral:rRNA from 1 species
UAGAGUUUUAUCAUGGCUCAGAACGAACGCUGGCGGCGUGCCUAACACAUGCAAGUCGAGCGCGAAUAGGGGCAACCCUUAGUAGAGCGGCGCACGGGUGCGUAACACGUGGAUAAUCUGCCUGGAUGCCCGGGAUAACCAGUCGAAAGAUUGGCUAAUACCGGAUAAGCCCACGGCCUCUUCGGAGACUGAGGGAAAAGGUGGCCUCUGUAUACAAGCUAUCACAACCAGAUGAGUCCGCGGCCCAUCAGCUAGUUGGCGGGGUAAUGGCCCACCAAGGCGACGACGGGUAGCUGGUCUGAGAGGACGAUCAGCCACACUGGAACUGAGACACGGUCCAGACUCCUACGGGAGGCAGCAGUGGGGAAUUUUGCGCAAUGGGCGAAAGCCUGACGCAGCAACGCCGCGUGUGUGAUGAAGGUCUUCGGAUUGUAAAGCACUUUCGACCGGGACGAAAACCCGUAGCCCAACACGCUACGGCUUGACGGUACCGGGAGAAGAAGCACCGGCUAACUCUGUGCCAGCAGCCGCGGUAAUACAGAGGGUGCAAGCGUUGUUCGGAAUUAUUGGGCGUAAAGCGCGUGUAGGCGGCGUGACAAGUCGGGUGUGAAAGCCCUCAGCUCAACUGAGGAAGUGCGCCCGAAACUGUCGUGCUUGAGUGCCGGAGAGGGUGGCGGAAUUCCCCAAGUAGAGGUGAAAUUCGUAGAUAUGGGGAGGAACACCGGUGGCGAAGGCGGCCACCUGGACGGUAACUGACGCUGAGACGCGAAAGCGUGGGGAGCAAACAGGAUUAGAUACCCUGGUAGUCCACGCCGUAAACGAUGAGAACUAGGUGUCGUGGGAGUUGACCCCCGCGGUGCCGAAGCUAACGCAUUAAGUUCUCCGCCUGGGAAGUACGGUCGCAAGACUAAAACUCAAGGGAAUUGACGGGGGCCCGCACAAGCGGUGGAGCAUGUGGUUUAAUUCGACCCAACGCGCAGAACCUUACCUGG